UGACAUGCCAUAAUUUCUUACAG
rnacentral:miRNA from 1 species